UAGAGUUUGAUCCUGGCUCAGAUUGAACGCUAGCUGCAUGCUUAACACAUGCAAGUCGAACGGCAGCGCGAGGAGCUUGCUCCUUGGCGGCGAGUGGCGGACGGGUGAGUAACGCGUAGGAAUCUACCAAGUAGAGGGGGAUAACUCGAGGAAACUCGAGCUAAUACCGCAUAAGCCCUUCGGGGGAAAGCAGGGGAUCUUAGGACCUUGCGCUAUUUGAUGAGCCUGCGUAGGAUUAGCUUGUUGGUGAGGUAAAGGCUCACCAAGGCGACGAUCCUUAGCUGGUCUGAGAGGAUGACCAGCCACACUGGGACUGAGACACGGCCCAGACUCCUACGGGAGGCAGCAGUGGGGAAUAUUGGACAAUGGGGGCAACCCUGAUCCAGCAAUGCAGCGUGUGUGAAGAAGGUCUUAGGAUUGUAAAGCACUUUCAGUAGGGAGGAAAACCCAUCGGCUAAUACCCGGUGAAUUGACGUUACCUACAGAAGAAGCACUGGCUAACUCUGUGCCAGCAGCCGCGGUAAUACAGAGAGUGCAAGCGUUAAUCGGAAUUACUGGGCGUAAAGCGCGCGUAGGUGGAUAAUUAAGUCGGAUGUGAAAUCCCUGGGCUCAACCUAGGAACUGCACCCGAAACUGGGUAUCUAGAGUAUGGUAGAGGGAAGUGGAAUUUCCCGUGUAGCGGUGAAAUGCGUAGAUAUCGGGAAGGAACAUCAGUGGCGAAGCGACUUCCUGGACUAAUACUGACACUGAGGUGGGAAAGCGGUGGGGAGCAAACAGGAUUAGAGACCCUGGUAGUCCACGCCGUCAACGAUGAGAACUAGAUGUGGGGUGAUUUAAUCACUUAGUAUCGAAGCUAACGCGUUAAGUUCUCCGCCUGGGGAGUACGGCCGCAAGGCUAAAACUCAAAGGAAUUGACGGGGGCCCGCACAAGCGGUGGAGCAUGUGGUUUAAUUCGAUGCAACGCGAAGAACCUUACCUACUCUUGACAUCCCAAGAAUCUUCUAGAGAUAGAAGAGUGCCUUCGGGAACUUGGUGACAGGUGCUGCAUGGCUGUCGUCAGCUCGUGUCGUGAGAUGUUGGGUUAAGUCCCGUAACGAGCGCAACCCUCGUUCUUAGUUGCCAGCGGUUCGGCCGGGGACUCUAGGAAUACUGCCGGUGAUAAACCGGAGGAAGGUGGGGACGAUGUCAAGUCAUCAUGGCCUUUAUGAGUAGGGCUACACACGUGCUACAAUGGGCAGUACAGAGGGAUGCAAUAUCGCGAGAUGGAGCAAACCCCACAAAGCUGUUCGUAGUCCGGAUUGGAGUCUGCAACUCGACUCCAUGAAGUUGGAAUCGCUAGUAAUCGCGAAUCAGAAUGUCGCGGUGAAUACGUUCUCGGGCCUUGUACACACCGCCCGUCAUACCACGGGAGUAGAUUGUACCAGAAGCGGGUAGGCUAUCCUUCGGGGGGCCGCUCACCACGGUAUGGUUUAUGACUGGGGUAAAGUCGUAACAAGGUAACC
rnacentral:rRNA from 1 species